rnacentral:tRNA from 1 species
UCCAGGGUAGCCUAGUGGACAUGGCAUCUGCCCGGUAAGCAGAACACUGUGGGUUCAAUUCCCAUCUCUGGCC